CCCAACCUGCCGUCUACUCUUGGACAGCCUUCUGAAAGGAAGAUUAAUACAAGAUGGCAUCAUGAGUUCACAUGUUCACAUGAUUAAAGGUAUUCCGGUAGACGAUGGGGAUGCGUUCCAUUAGAUAGUAGGCGGGGUAACGGCCCACCUAGUCUUCGAUGGAUAGGGGUUCUGAGAGGAAGGUCCCCCACAUUGGAACUGAGACACGGUCCAA
rnacentral:rRNA from 1 species